AUUGAACGCUGGCGGCAGGCCUAACACAUGCAAGUCGAACGGUAACAGGAAGCAGCUUGCUGCUUCGCUGACGAGUGGCGGACGGGUGAGUAAUGUCUGGGAAGCUGCCUGAUGGAGGGGGAUAACUACUGGAAACGGUAGCUAAUACCGCAUAAUGUCGCAAGACCAAAGAGGGGGACCUUCGGGCCUCUUGCCAUCGGAUGUGCCCAGAUGGGAUUAGCUUGUUGGUGGGGUAACGGCUCACCAAGGCGACGAUCCCUAGCUGGUCUGAGAGGAUGACCAGCCACACUGGAACUGAGACACGGUCCAGACUCCUACGGGAGGCAGCAGUGGGGAAUAUUGCACAAUGGGCGCAAGCCUGAUGCAGCCAUUCCGCGUGUAUGAAGAAGGCCUUCGGGUUGUAAAGUACUUUCAGCGGGGAGGAAGGGAGUAAAGUUAAUACCUUUGCUCAUUGACGUUACCCGCAGAAGAAGCACCGGCUAACUCCGUG
rnacentral:rRNA from 1 species